rnacentral:rRNA from 1 species
UUUCCGGUUGAUCCCGCCGGAGGUCACUGCUAUUGGGGUUCGACUAAGCCAUGCAAGUCGACUGGUUUUCGCGACCAGGGCGGACGGCUCAGUAACACGUGGGUAACCUACCCUCAGGACAGGGAUAACCCCGGGAAACUGGGGAUAAUACCUGAUAGGUAAAGACUUCUGGAAUGAGUCUUUGCCCAAAGCUCCGGCGCCUGAGGAUGGGCCUGCGGCCGAUUAGGUUGUUGGCGGUGUAACGGACCACCAAGCCUAAGAUCGGUACGGGCACUGGGAGGUGGAGCCCGGAGAUGGGGGCUGAGAAAAGGCCCCAGGCCCUACGGGGCGCAGCAGGCGCGAAAACUCCGCAAUACGCGCAAGCGUGACGGGGGAACCCCAAGUGUCAUGCCUUUGGGUAUGACUUUUGCAGAGUGUAAACAGCUCUGCGAAUAAAGGCGGGGUAAGACCGGUGCCAGCCGCCGCGGUAACACCGGCCGCUUGAGUGGUGACCACUAUUAUUGGGCCUAAAGCGUCCGUAGCCGGUUCUGUAAGUCCCUGGGUAAAUCCACUCGUUUAACGAGUGGCCUCCCAAGGAUACUGCAGAACUCGGGAGCGAGAGAGGUCGGAGGUACUCCGGGGGUAGCGGUGAAAUGCUGUAAUCCUCGGGGGACCACCAGUGGCGAAGGCGUCCGACCAGAGCGUGUCCGACGGUGAGGGACGAAAGCCAGGGGAGCGAACGGGAUUAGAUACCCCGGUAGUCCUGGCCGUAAACGCUGCCCGCUAGGUGUUGCAUGCUCUACGGGGGCGUGCAGUGCCGAAGCGAAGGUGAUAAGCGGGCCGCCUGGGAAGUACCGUCGCAAGACGGAAACUUAAAGGAAUUGGCGGGGGAGCACCACAAGGGGUGAAGUCUGCGGUUUAAUUGGAUUCAACGCCGGA